CUACGGGAGGCAGCAGUGGGGAAUUUUGGACAAUGGGGGCAACCCUGAUCCAGCCAUUCCGCGUGAGUGAAGAAGGCCUUCGGGUUGUAAAGCUCUUUCGGCCGGGAAGAAAUCGUGCGGGCCAAUACCCUGUAUGGAUGACGGUACCGGAAGAAGAAGCGCCGGCUAACUACGUGCCAGCAGCCGCGGUAAUACGUAGGGUGCGAGCGUUAAUCGGAAUUACUGGGCGUAAAGGGUGCGCAGGCGGUUUUGUAAGACAGGUGUGAAAUCCCCGGGCUUAACCUGGGAACUGCGCUUGUGACUGCAAGACUUGAGUGCGGCAGAGGGGGGUGGAAUUCCACGUGUAGCAGUGAAAUGCGUAGAGAUGUGGAGGAACACCGAUGGCGAAGGCAGCCCCCUGGGUCGACACUGACGCUCAUACACGAAAGCGUGGGGAGCAAACAGGAUUAGAUACCCCGGUAGUCC
rnacentral:rRNA from 1 species